rnacentral:lncRNA from 1 species
CAUACCUUGACGCGGGUCGAUCUACAUUGUAAACUGAUGAUCAUAGAUAUAUUUUGAAUAUCUCUUAAAGCCACACAAGCAUCCGAUCUCUACGGAUAUCCACACGAGAUUUUGAUCUGAUCAGAAGCUUCUUGAUCUCACCGGAGUGCUAGCUCUCUUGCAGAGAUCGUAUCUUGAUGGUCGAAAAUUUUUCUUUUCUUUCAAGACAAUCUUAAAGAAAAAGAAAAAAAUAGGAGGAUGAAGAUCUCUACGUUAGAGAUCAUAAGAAGAACUCUUUCUUCUCUUUUCUUCUUAAAAUUCAUGCACCAAAUCUCUACACUACAGAUAUAAGAAUUUUGUCCAACUCUUGGACAAAGAGGAGAGAAAAACCCAUAUCCAAACUUAGACAAAAGAGAGAGAGAAAAAGUCCUAACAAC